UACGUAGGGGGCUAGCGUUGUCCGGAAUCAUUGGGCGUAAAGAGCGUGUAGGCGGCCCGGUAAGUCCGCUGUGAAAGUCGGGGGCUCAACCCUCGAAUGCCGGUGGAUACUGUCGGGCUAGAGUGCGGAAGAGGCGAGUGGAAUUCCUGGUGUAGCGGUGAAAUGCGUAGAUAUCGAGAGGAACACCUGCGGCGAAGGCGGGUUGCUGGGCUGACACUGACGCUGAUGCGCGAAAGCCAGGGGAGCGAACGGG
rnacentral:rRNA from 1 species